GAGAAGGGGAGCAAUCCCUGAGUACAGUGGCGACCGGGUGAGUAACACGUGACUACCUACCCUUGAGUGGGGGAUAACCUCGGGAAACCGAGGCUAAUACCGCAUAAUAUCGAAAGAUCAAAGGAGAAAUCCGCUUUUGGAGGGGGUCGCGGCUGAUUAGCUAGUUGGUGAGGUAAUGGCUCACCAAGGCGAAGAUCGGUAUCCGGCCUGAGAGGGCGCACGGACACACUGGAACUGAAACACGGUCCAGACUCCUACGGGAGGCAGCAGUGGGGAAUCUUGCACAAUGGGGGAAACCCUGAUGCAGCGACGCCGCGUGAGCGAUGAAGCCCUUCGGGGUGUAAAGCUCUUUCGGCAGGGAAGAUUAUGACGGUACCUGCAGAAGCAGCUGCGGCUAACUACGUGCCAGCAGCCGCGGUAAUACGUAGGCAGCAAGCGUUGUUCGGAGUUACUGGGCGUAAAGGGUGUGUAGGUGGCCUGUUAAGUUCCGUGUGAAAUCUCCCGGCUCAACCGGGAGGGUGCGCGGAAAACUGGCGGGCUAGAGUACGGGAUGGGAGAGUAGAAUUCCUGGUGUAGCGGUGAAAUGCGUAGAUAUCAGGAGGAAUACCGGUGGUGUAGACGGCUCUCUGGACCGUAACUGACACUGAGACACGAAAGCGUGGGUAGCAAACAGGAUUAGAUACCCUGGUAGUCCACGCCCUAAACGAUGCAUAUUUGGUGU
rnacentral:rRNA from 1 species